GUGCCAGCCGCCGCGGUAAUACGGAGGGGGCAAGCGUUGUUCGGAAUUACUGGGCGUAAAGGGCGCGUAGGCGGUCUGUUGCGUCGGGUGUGAAAGCCCUGGGCUCAACCCAGGAACGGCACUUGAUACGGGCAGACUCGAAUCCGGAAGAGGAUGGUGGAAUUCCCAGUGUAGAGGUGAAAUUCGUAGAUAUUGGGAAGAACACCGAUGGCGAAGGCAGCCAUCUGGUCCGCGAUUGACGCUGAGGCGCGAAAGCGUGGGGAGCAAACAGGAUUAGAUACCCUGGUAGUCCACGCCGUAAACGAUGUGUGCUAGCCGUUGGGCAGCUUGCUGUUCAGUGGCGCCGCUAACGCAUUAAGCACACCGCCUGGGGAGUACGGCCGCAAGGUUAAA
rnacentral:rRNA from 1 species